GGCAGCAUGGUGUAUGGUGCACGCGUGGGUCCUAUAUGCAAUGUGGUCCAGGAAUUUCUCCCAGGUCCUCGUUCGAUUCGAGGUGCUGCUA